rnacentral:rRNA from 1 species
AUGGAUUUUGUUGAUGGUCUACCACCUUCUGGAGGAGUGAAUUACAUUCUGGUCAUUGUCGACAAACUAACUAAGUUUGCUCACCUUCUUCCAUUAGCACACCCAUAUACAGCUUCGAAGGUCGCCCUCCUCUACAUGAACCAAGUGUACAGGCUGCAUGGGUUCCCCGGCUCCAUUGUCUCCGAUCGAGAUCCGGUAUUCACCAGUCACUUCUGGCAGGAACUAUUCAAAUAUGCAGGCACUGGCCUCCGCAUGAGCUCUGCCAAUCACCCCCAGACUAACGGGCAAACAGAGCGGGUAAACCAGUGUCUAGAGACAUUCCUUCGGUGUUUCACUCACGCAUGCCCGCGCCGUUGGAGCUUCAGGAUUCCCCUAGCUCAGUUCUAG